AAAAAUCAAGCUAUUUCCUAAUAUAAGAAAAUCUCUAACGUAAAACUCCCUAUUUCAUAAUUAAACGAAAAAUUGGAAUAAUGAAUAAAAACAAAUAGAUUAUUUUAUUUAUGGAAUAAAUAUAUAUUUACUCUAUUACAGAGUAAAAAAUUGAGCGGGACUGAAAUAUUUUUUACUCUUGUCUCUAUUUUAGAGUAAAAAUAGAGUAAGUCUAGAGAUACUCUAAAAUGUUGAUAAUCACUAAUCACUCAAUCCAAAUAUCAAAGUAGUAUAAAAGAUGUCAAUGCAAUCCAAGUCAAUUCAAUCAAUGAGAAUGCAAAUCAAGUGCUUAGUCUAAGUGUAAUCAGUGUAGUGAUGAUAAAAAACAAGUAAACAAGAGCAAAUCAUGACAAAUAACUAAAGAUUUCAAUCAAUAAGUGGAAUAUGACCCAUGGGCAAUAAACAUUUGAUUUCAAGUGAUAAAGAUCCAAUCUAUAAUGGUAAGCACAAGUCUAAUAACUAUCUAAGCAUCUUUAACAUCAAUUCCUAUUGGCUAAGCAAGCAAAGAACAAUAUCAACUUGGCUC
rnacentral:lncRNA from 1 species